rnacentral:lncRNA from 1 species
CUCUAUAUCCUAUGAUAUGCAUCGAGUAGCAUGAGAAAAAUGGCAGAGAAGGGACAAAUGUGGUUGCGUCUUCUACUUUUUAUCGUUAAUCACAUUGAUCCAAUCUCCACCGUUUCAUAAAAACACACAUUCAUUAUCUCGACCCAAUCUCCAUUGCUCCAUGAAAGGAUGGGCGGAUUAAAUGAGAUGAGUAAUCAACAGUAAACAAAUAUCUUCUACUCCUUUAUGUAUACUAUCGACCUUAUUGCACAACCCAAUUUCUACCGUUUCACAAAAACACACAUUCACUUUUCUCAUUAAUUGUCCUGACCCAAUUUCCACCGCUUCACGAAGGGAUGAAUGGGUCUGACAAGAAGAGUAGUCAACAAUAAAAAUGCAUCAGAAAAGUACUAGAGAAGUGACAACACUUAUACCUAUAAUCGAUUUUGCAUGAUGACAUAAUUGAUUUUACAUAACACUUUGUUAGUAACACUCACUUGCAUCUUGAACCGUUGGAUCAACCCACAAUUCGUAGAUCUUAUUUUGACCUAAUCUUCACGGUUUCAUAAGAGCACACAUUCACCAAUCCCAUCAAUUGACCCGAUCAAAUCUCCACCGCUCCAUGAAAGGAUGGAUGGAUCAGACAAGAAAAGUAGUCAAGAAUAAAAAAUAAAAAAAGCAUGAGAAGAGUACUCGAGAAGGAACAAUAGUGAUCGUGUCUUCUACUCCUCUCUCUCUCUCUAUAUAUAUAUAAGAAUUAUGCUACAUGAUAAUCAAGUGUCCUAAAAUGAAGAGAUACAGUCAAAGAAUGCAGAAGACUGUGAUUCUGCCACAGGAUCUGGUCAUUCAAAUCUUACUAAGGUUGCCGGUGAAAUCUCUUGUCCGUUUCAAAUCUGUGUGUAAGUCAUGGCUUUCCUUCAUCUCUGAUUCACACCUUUGGUUGUCACAUUUUAAACUAGCAGCCGCUCCCACGGAAAGACUUGUGUUCUUUGAGUCUUCAACUUCGAAAACGCACGUUACAAAUAUGAUUACUCUUUAGGGAUAGCAAAAUAAACCUUAUUAAAACCCUUAAAUUGAUAUAGCCAAGUUAAAAAUAGUUUCAACAAUAAUAGUGGGAUAAGGUUGGUGAUUUUUAUAAGACUUGUGAGUGAUGCAAGACCAGACCAGGCAAAGUGUUUCGGUGGGGCUAGAUCCAAGACUAGUGACAUU